GAUGAACGCUGGCGGCGUGCCUAAUACAUGCAAGUCGAGCGAACGGACGAGAAGCUUGCUUCUCUGAUGUUAGCGGCGGACGGGUGAGUAACACGUGGAUAACCUACCUAUAAGACUGGGAUAACUUCGGGAAACCGGAGCUAAUACCGGAUGAUAUUUUGAACCGCAUGGUUCAAAAGUGAAAGACGGUCUUGCUGUCACUUAUAGAUGGAUCCGCGCUGCAUUAGAUAGUUGGUAAGGUAACGGCUUACCAACGCAACGAGGCAUAGCCGACCUGAGAGGGGGAUCGGACACACUGGAACUGAGACACGGUCCAGACUCCGACGGGGGGCAGCAGUAGGGAAUCUUCCGCAAUGGGCGAGAGCCUGACGGAGCAACGCCGCGUGAGUGAUGAAGGCAUUCGGAUCGUAAAACUCUGUUAUUAGGGAAGAAGAUAUGUGUAAGUAACUGUGCACAUCUUGACGGUACCUAAGCAGAAAGCCACGGCUAACUACGUG
rnacentral:rRNA from 1 species